ensembl:lncRNA
ACCAGUAGUUGCCUGAAAACCUGCCCAGAGUGGACCCUUAUCAGAGCCAUGGCAGGAUCAAAAGACCAUGUCGGUGAGUUCCUGGAGGAGUUCAGGGAGCAAAUCAUCUCUCGGGUGCAGCAUGUUGGGCCGAUAGCAAAUGCUGUGAUUUCACAGCAGCUGGUCCAGGAGGAGGCAGCAUGGGAUGUGCAGACUGCUCCAACCCCCCAGGAGGCCCUAAAGAGACUGUUUAAGGCUUUGGAGACAGCACCCCCACAAAGCAGAGAGUCCUUUCUCAUGAUACUGAAGCUAUAUGAACCCAAACUCAUGGAGGAAUUGGAAAAUAGACACCAGAACAGCAAGAGCACUCAAACAGAUGUAACCCAGAGGUCUGUGGAGAAGAAAGAGGAGGGUGGAGCACGGCAAGAAGGUGACACCCAGUCUAAGAGAGAAUCCCUGAAACGCAGGAGACAGGAGACUAUGCAAGCCAUUGAGAAAAUAGAGAGACUCUGGGAAGGGACGAAAAGAGAGCAAGGAGACGUGGCCAGCAUGACAGAGAAGAUCCAGAAGCAUCAGGGAGAAAUUACUCAGCUUAUGGAGGAGAAACGGCAACACGAGAGAACUAUCGAGCAGCUGAGAGCUCAGCUACAACAAGCCAGAGAGAGAAUGGCACAGAGUGGGCAGGAUGCAGAUAGAGAGAGAGGGAGAAUUGAGCAGAUGAGGACUGACAUCCAGACAGAGAGAGAGAUGCUGGAGCACAGGCGUGAGGAGAUCUUUCAGGAGAGGCAGCAGCUGGAGCUGAUAAGAUAUGAGACACUUAGAGCAAAGGAAGAGACAGAGAGGAACCAACAGAUCACUAGACUGGAGAAAGAGAAGAUGGAGCAGAUGAAGAGCGACAUCCAAGGACAGAUUUACGAAAUAGAAAAGCAAAUUGAAGAGACAAAACAAGCAAAAGAAAGCAUGGAACGGAUGAAGGCUGAAGUACAAAGUGAGAGAGAUGAUCUAGGGAAAAGGAGGGAUGACAUACAGAAACAAAAAGAACAAUUUGAACAGAUCAAAAAUGAAAUAAACACAGUUAAGGAACAGAUGGAGAGUCGAUGGCAUGAGGCAGAGAAAGACAAACAGGAACAGCGAGUGCUCAUUCAACAGGAGAAAGAUGAACUACUGAACUUGCAGGCUGAGUUGCAAAUAGCAAAAGAGGAGUUUGAGAAGAACAAAGAGGAAACCAAUCUAGAGAGAGAGAGACUACACCAUCUGAAAACAGACUUACAUCUGGAAAAGGAUGUAAUUGAGAAAAGAAAAUCUGAGGUCUCCAGAAAAGAGAAGGAUUUGGAGAAGAUAAGAUGGAAAUUAGGAACAGCACAAGAAGAGCUAGAGAAAGAAAAGGAAGAAGUGAGUAAGGAGAGAGAGAAGCUAGACUGGACCAGAGCCGGCAUCCAGAAGAAAACAAAGACCAUAGAAAGGAGGAUAGAGGAGAAAAGGCAAGCAAGCAGAAAGCUGGAGCAGGUGAAGGCUGAGGUCCAGAGGGCCAAUAACACUCUGGAGAAACAGCGGGAUGAUGCCCUUAAGGCAAAAGAGGAGAUGGAGAAACGAAAGUAUGACACAAUGAAAGAGGAGAUUGAACAGCGAGCUGGGAUACAGAGAGAGAGAGAUGAAGUGGAGAGGAUGAAGGCAGAGUUACAGAAGGUAGGUGAGGUGGGCAGGAUAAAAGAGGAGAAGGAAAGACUACAGAUGAAACAGCAGAGUGAAGAAAUGCAACGGGAGAAGGAGACAACAGAGAGAAUGAAAGCUGAGAUAGAAACAGAAAAAGAAAACAUCACGAGAAGGAACACUGAGAUUCUGAGAGAGAGACAAGAGCUGGAGGCUAUGAGGUAUGAUAUACUGAAGGACAGGGAGGAGACAGAGCAGAGCCGGGAGAUUAUUAAAAGAGAAAAAGAACGAAUGGAGAAAAUGAAAGCUCACAUACAGCAUCAGAUUGAUGACAUAGAGCAUAAAAUUGAAGAAACAAAACAAACGAAAGACCAAAUGGACCUCAUGAAAGCAGAGAUCCAGAGAGAAAAGGACGAACUGGAAAGCCAAAGGGAGAAGAACAGGGUGGAAAAAGAACAUUAUGAGUCAAUACAGUCUGAAAUCGUGCAGCUAAAGAAUGAAAUGGAGAGAAAAUGGUCUGAGACAGAGCAGGAAGAAGUGGAACAGAGAACAAGGAUCCAACAAGAACAAGAAAAUCUGGAACAACUGAAGGAGGAGAUUCAAAAGGCAAAAGCAGAUGUUGAAAUGAACAGAGAAGAAAUAAGACAAGAAAAGGAGUUGAUUGAACAAAUAAAAGCUUUAUUAAAAGGGGAGAAAGAAUCUAUUAAGAAAAAAGAAGAUGAGGUCAAGAGAAAGGAAGAAGGGUUCAAGCAAGAAUUUGAAGCAGAGAAAGAAGAUAUCCAAAGCAGAGAGACCAAUGUACAAAAAGAGUGGAAUGAAAUCAGCCAAAUGAAAGAAAAACUAAAACAACAGAUUAAGGAGCUUGAGAAAAAGGUUACUGACGCAUCAAGGGCCCAUAGAGAGGCAGAAGAGAUAAAAGAAGCAAUACAUGAGACUGAGCGCACCAUGGAACAACAGAGAAUGGAGACUAUUAAAGGAAGAGAGGAGAUGGAGAAAAGGAGAUAUGAGAUGGUGAUGGAGGACUUGGAGAAACGGGCAGAGCUGCAAAAAGAGAGAGAGGAACUGGAAAACAUGAGGACUGAAGUACUGAGAUUACAACAGGACCAGGAGAGAGUGACAGAUGCUAAUGAACGAGAGAUCUUACAGAACAUGGUGCAAGAAAACAAUCAGGAGAAAGAAAUGAUGAUACAGUUGAGAGCUGCGAUGCAGAGGGACAGAGAUGAUCUAGAUAGGGUAAAGAGGGAGUCAGAGAGAGAACGAGAGGAGUUGGAGCAGGUACGUGAGGAGACCCGGAGACUCAAGGAGGAGCUGGAUAAGAGUAGGCAUGACUGCAAGAGAGAAGAAGUACAACAGAGGACACAACAGCAGAAAGAGAGAGAGGAGAUAGAAAGAGUCAAAAAUACAAUGGUGAGAGAGAGACAAAUGAUUGAGCAUGCAAGAGAGGCAGUAGCACUAGAGAUGGAACAAAAAAGGACAGAACUGGAGAAACAGACAGAGGAUGUGAACAGAAGGAUGAGAGAAACAAGGCAGGAAGAGGAAAGAAUGCAGCAGAUGAGAGCUGAACUUGAGAGUCAAAGAGAGAAGCUGGAAAGAAUGAGAGAGAAGACGCAUAAAGCGAAAGAGCCAUAUGAGCAGGUAAAAAAAGAGAUAGACAGAGUCAAAGCAGAGAUUGAGAGAAUGUGGGAUGAGUCUGAGAGAGAGGAAAGGGAAGAGAGAGAGAAGUUACAGGUAGAGAGAGAGGAGGUGAACAAAAGAGUGAAAGAGAUAAAGAGCCAAAUGCACCAGAUCCAGGAGAUGAAGGAUUACUUAAAGGUGCAGAACGAGGAGACUGAAGCCAACAUGGAGAGAAUCCAAAAAGAGAUGGAGCAACUGGAGAGGAUGAAAGCUGACAUACAGAGACAGAAAGAGGAGGUGGAUAGUAAAAUGACAGAGACAAAAAUGGAGAAGCAGGAACUUGAGAAGAUGCGCUCAGACAUCCUGAAACAGAAAGAUGAAGUGGAGAUUAAGAUGCAACAAGCCCAAAUGGAGAUGGAGAAAAUGAGGAGACAGCGGGAUGAGAUCCAGAGGCAGAGAGAGGAGCUGGAGGAGCGGAUGCAGAAGACUAGACGAGAUAUGGCAGAAAUGGAGUACAUGAGAGCUGAGAUGGAGAGAAAGAGGAAGGAGCUAGAGCAGAGACUGAGGAAGACUAGGAGAAAGAAAGAGGAGAUGGAACAGAUAAAAGUGGAGAUAGAGAAAGCGAAGGAUGAGUUUCAGUUAAAAAAGGAAGAGACAGAAAAAGAGAAACGAGAGAUGGAGGGGUUCAUAGCUGAACUGCAAAGGGCCAGAGAGGAAUUUGACAACAAGGCAGAGUUGAGUGAUAAAGACCAAGAGGAACAGGAUGAAAUAAACACAGAAAUCCUAAGACUGAUUCAGGAGAUGGAGAGAACCAGAGAAAUGGUGCGGAGAACAAAAAUGGACAUGCAGAGCAGAAUGGAAGUGUGUCAUAUGGACAUCACUGACAGAGAGCUUAUGAACACUGAGCUACAAAGACUUAUUCAAGAGAUAGAGCACAUCCGAGAACUGCUGAAAAAAAUGAAACUAGAAAUUGAACAAAGUAAAUAUGACACUAAGACAGGGAGGGAUGAGCUGAGAAUGAUUAAGCUAGAGAUACAAAGAAAGAGAAGAGACCUGGACCAGAGGCUUGAGAGGACCUUGAGAGAGAGAGACGACCUAGACAUUUUGAAAUUGAAGAUAGUACAACAGCGAGAUGAGGUGGAAGAACGGCUGAGGGACUGUGAGAUUGAGACAGAGAAGGUAGAGGCCAGGAGAGAGGACAUGGUACGAGACUCAGAAGCUAUACGAUAUGCCCAAGAAGAGAUUGAGAAAGUAAAAGCAAAGCUGCAGCUGGACUUAGAUGACCUAAACAAAGAAAAGGAAAUUGUGGGGGAAAUGAAGGCUGAGAUUAUGCAACUCAGACGAGGAACUGAACAGGACAUGACAGAUGAGUCAGGCAUGGACGACUCUGGGAUGGGAGAUGAGCUGGACAAACAUGAGGUCUCAAUCAGUAUGUCUGAGAUAGAGGAACAGCGCAAAGACAUAGAGCUACAGAAAGAAAUACUUCAAAGACAAAGAUGUGAAUUAGAGGAAAGAAACGUUGAAAUAGACAGAGAAAAAGACAAGAUACUGAGCAUGAAGGACAAGAUCAAGGAUGAAGAAAUCAGGAUGGAAACAAUCACGGAACAGCUCAAAAAAGAGAGGGAAACAAUUGACAGUAUGAAUAUCAACUCUUUCAGAAUGAAAAAAGAGCUUGAACUGAUGCAUGCUGAGAUACAAAGAAAACAGGAAGACAUUCAACACAGCCAAGCUCUACUUCAUAAAGACAAUAAAGUUCUGAGGGAAAAUAAACUAGAACUACAAAAAGAAAAAGAAGAAAGUGAGAGAGAUGCCAAAAAGAUAAAAGAAGAUCUAGAUAUACUUAAGAUUGAGAUAAAGAGACAAAGAGAAGAAAUUCAAAAUGACAGGGAAAAGCUUGAAAAACAGAAGAGUGAACUACUGAAUGAAAAUGUAGAGAUACAAAAUAAAACUACAAAUGUUGAAAACCUUGCAAAUGAGGUAAAGAGAGAAAAGAAGGCAAUAGAGGAAAAAGCAAAACAACUUAAAAAACAAAAGGAAGAGUUUGAUGAAGAAAUGAAAAAACAGACUAAAGAAUUUGAAGACAGCAAAAAUGAACUUGAACAGAAAUGGAAAGAUUUGGAAAAUGUAAAAGAAUUUUUGCAAGCUGAAAUACAGCAACAAAGACGGGAGGCUCAGAAACUCUUGGAGGAUGCAAUAAAAGCAGACAAACAAAAGACUGAACAAAUUCAGAAAGAAAUGGAGGAACUAAAAAACAAAAUGGCAGACAUGGAAAAAAAUAUGGGUGAUGUCCAGAGAGAGAAAAUGGAGGUUAAGACCAAACAUAAUGAAAUUGAGGUGAGAAUGGAAAAAGUGAAAAUGGAUAUACAGACACUGGAGGAAAAAGAAAGCAACAUAAAAAGACAGAAAGAGGAGAUAGAGAGAAGAAUGGCUGCGACAAAGAAGGAAAGACAACAUGUAGAGAAACUGAAAAAUGACUUGUCAGGACAAAGAGAAGAAACAGAAGCAAAAUUAAAACUCUUGAAAAGUGAAAUGGAAAAACUGAGGAGCAUCAAAAACAACAUCCAGAAAGAGAGAGAAGAAGCAGAUGGCAAGUUACAGAAAAUUAAGCGAGAGAUAGGACAGAUGGAACUUUAUAAAGCUGAGCUGGAGGCCAAGAAAAAAGAACUGGAACACACCAUCAGAAGAAACACCAGGAAACUAAAUGAGAUGGAACAAUCCAAGACGAAAAUACAAAAGGCUAAAGAAGAGCUGGACACAGUUAUGGAAAGGAUACAACGAGGAAAGGAAGAACUAAAAGAGAUGAAAUCUAUUUUAGAAAGUCAGUUUGAGAGUGAUAGAAACGAGCUUCAAAGAGUGGAGAGGGAGCUUCAUCAGACAAUCAAAUCAUUUGAAAUUGAGUGUGACAAACUGAGAGAAAACAGAAAUGCACUUAAAUUGCAAAUUCAAACUCUAGAGGAAACAAGAGAAGAUAUAGAGAAGGAAAGAGGUAAAAUGGCAGAUGAGUUUCAGGAACAGAGAGAUAUCCUUAACACAGAGAGGCAAAUGCUGGAUAAAGUCAAAGAAGAGAUACAAAAACAAAGAGAAGAAAUAGACAUGAGAAGACUGGAGACAGAGCAACUUCAGGCAGAGAUAGAAACAAUGAAAAAAGAAGGGGAAGAUGCUUUCCAUUGCAAAAUUAGGGAAGCCUCUGUUGAGAGUGAACAACUUGCCAAAGCAAAGGAAGAACUCAACACAAAAAUAGAAGAAAUGAAUAGAGAAAUGGACACUCUUCAGAGCCUGAAGGAUGAGUUGAAAAGGAAAAGAGAAGAAAUUGACGGCAAAAUGGAAAACACAAAGAUGGAGGUUGAACAACUGGAGAGAUUGAAGUCAGAUAUUCAAAGACAGAAAGAAGAGUUUGAAAAGAUAAUGUAUGAAACAAAGGCAGAGAAGGAAGAACUGGAGAAGGUCAAAUCUGACAUCUGGAAACAAAAACAGGACACUGAGACAAAGCUGGUGAUGCUGAAGGAAGAGAUGAAGGAAAUGGCAACUAUAAGGGAAGACAUACAGAAGCAGAAGGAGGAACUGGACGACAAGAUGCAGAGGAUGAAACGGGAGAUGGAAGAGAUGGAACUCACUAAAGCUGAGCUGGAGGCCAAGAGAAGAGAGCUGGAGCAAACCAUCAGAAGAAACACCAGGAAACUUAAUGAGAUGGAACAAUCAAAGACUGACAUACAACAGGCUAAAGAGGAGAUGGAUAAAGUAAUGCAGAAAAUUGCUCUCGAGAAGGAAGAACUCAAUGAAAUGAAAGAAAUUUUACAGAGCCAGAUUGAGAAUGAUAGAAACGAGCUACAAAGGGUGGAGAAGGAGCUCCAUCAGAGAAUCAACUCAUUUGAAAUUGAGCGUGGUCAACUGAGAGUUACCGAAGAUGCACUUCAAAUCCAAACACAAAUUCUGGACAAAGCUAGUCAAGAUAUAGAGAAGGAAAGACGUAAAAUGGCAGAUGAGUUUCAGGAACAGAGAGAUAUCCUCAAGACAGAGAGGCAAAUGCUGGACAAAACCAAAGAAGAGAUACAAAAACAAAGAGAUGAAAUAGAUCUGAGAAGACUGGAGACAGAGCAACUUCAGGCAGAGGUAGAAACGUUGAAAAAAGAAGGGGAAGAUGCUCUCCAUGAAAGAAUUAGGGAAGCCUCUGUUGAGAGUAAACAACUUGCCAAAGCAAAGGAAGAACUCAACACAAAACUGGAAGAAAUGAAGAGAGAAAUGGACACUCUUCAGAGCCUGAAGGAUGAGUUGAAAAGGGAAAGAGAAGAAAUUGACGACAAAAUGGAAAACACAAAGAUGGAGAUUGAACAACUGGAGAGAUUGAAGUCAGAUAUUCAAAGACAGAAAGAAGAGUUUGAAAAGACAAUGUAUGAAACAAAGGCAGAGAAGGAAGAACUGGAGAAGGUCAAAUCUGAUAUCUGGAAACAAAAAGAGGACACUGAGGCAAAGCUAGUGAUGCUGAAGGAAGAGAUGAAGGAAAUGGCAACUAUAAGGGAAGACAUACAGAAGCAGAAGGAGGAACUGGACGACAAGAUGCAGAGGAUGAAACGGGAGAUGGGAGAGAUGGAACUCACUAAAGCUGAGCUGGAGGCCAAGAGAAAAGAGCUGGAACACACCAUCAGAAGAAACACCAGGAAGCUUAAUGAGAUGGAACAAUCAAAGACUGACAUACAACAGGCUAAAGAGGAGAUGGACAAAGCAAUGCAGACAAUUGCUCUCGAGAAGGAAGAACUCAAUGAAACGAAAGCAAUUUUACAGAGCCAGAUUGAGAAUGAUAGAAACGAGCUUCAAAGGGUUGAGAAGGAGCUUCAUCAGAGAAUCAACACAUUUGAAAUUGAGCGUGGUCAACUGAGAGAAACCGAAGAUGCAAUUCAAAUCCAAACACAAAUUAUGGACAAAGCUAGAGAAGGUAUAGAGAAGGAAAGAGGCAAAAUGGCAGAUGAGUUUCAGGAACAGAGAGAUAUCCUUAAAACAGAGAUGCAAAUGCUGGACAAAAACAAAGAAGGUAUACAAAAACAAAGAGAAGAACUUGAACAGGAGAGAAAAGAAUUAGACCUAAGAAGAGUGGAGAUAGAGCAACUUCAGGCAGAUGUAAAAAAGAUGAAAAAAGAAGGACAAGACGCUAUCCAAGGCAGAAUUAGGGAAGCCUCUGUUGAGAGUGAACAACUUGCCAAAGCAAAGGAAGAACUCAACACAAAAAUGGAAGAAAUGAAGAGAGAAAUGGACACUCUUCAGAGCCUGAAGGAUGAGUUGAAAAAGGAAAGAGAAGAAAUUGACGGCAAAAUGGAAAACACAAAGACGAAGAUUGACCAUCUGGAGAGAUUAAAGUCUGAUAUUCAAAGACAGAAAGAAGAGUUUGAAAAGACAAUGUAUGAAACAAAGGCAGAGAAGGAAGAACUGGAGAAGGUAAAAUCUGACAUCUGGAAACAAAAAGAGGACACUGAGACAAAGCUGGUGAUGCUGAAGGAAGAGAUGAAGGAAAUGGCAACUAUGAGGGAAGACAUACAGAAGCAGAAGGAGGAACUAGACGACAAGAUGCAGAAGAUGAAACGGGAGAUGGAAGAGAUGGAACUCACUAAAGCUGAGCUGGAGGCCAAGAGAAAAGAGCUGGAACACACCAUCAGAAGAAACACCAGGAAACUUAAUGAGAUGGAACAAUCAAAGACUGACAUACAACAGGCUAAAGAGGAGAUGGAUAAAGCAAUGCAGACAAUUGCUCUCGAGAAGGAAGAACUCAAUGAAACGAAAGCAAUUUUACAGAGCCAGAUUGAGAAUGAUAGAAACGAGCUUCAAAGGGUUGAGAAGGAGCUUCAUCAGAGAAUCAACACAUUUGAAAUUGAGCGUGGUCAACUGAGAGAAACCGAAGAUGCAAUUCAAAUCCAAACACAAAUUCUGGACAAAGCUAGAGAAAGGUAUAGAGAAGGAAAGAGGCAAAAUGGCAGAUGAGUUUCAGGAACAGAGAGAUAUCCUUAAAACAGAGAUGCAAAUGCUGGACAAAAACAAAGAAGGUAUACAAAAACAAAGAGAAGAACUUGAACAGGAGAGAAAAGAAUUAGACCUAAGAAGAGUGGAGAUAGAGCAACUUCAGGCAGAUGUAAAAAAGAUGAAAAAAGAAGGACAAGACGCUAUCCAAGGCAGAAUUAGGGAAGCCUCUGUUGAGAGUGAACAACUUGCCAAAGCAAAGGAAGAACUCAACACAAAAAUGGAAGAAAUGAAGAGAGAAAUGGACACUCUUCAGAGCCUGAAGGAUGAGUUGAAAAAGGAAAGAGAAGAAAUUGACGGCAAAAUGGAAAACACAAAGACGAAGAUUGACCAUCUGGAGAGAAUAAAGUCUGAUAUUCAAAGACA